UGGGGCGUAGCCAAGCGGUAAGGCACGGGUCUUUGGAACCCGCAUUCCUAGGUUCGAAUCCUAGCGCCCCAG
rnacentral:tRNA from 1 species